UGGAGAGUUUGAUCCUGGCUCAGAUUGAACGCUGGCGGCAGGCCUAACACAUGCAAGUCGAGCGGUAGAGAGAAGCUUGCUUCUCUUGAGAGCGGCGGACGGGUGAGUAAUGCCUMGGAAUCUGCCUGGUAGUGGGGGAUAACGUUCGGAAACGGACGCUAAUACCGCAUACGUCCUACGGGAGAAAGCAGGGGACCUUCGGGCCUUGCGCUAUCAGAUGAGCCUAGGUCGGAUUAGCUAGUUGGUGGGGUAAUGGCUCACCAAGGCGACGAUCCGUAACUGGUCUGAGAGGAUGAUCAGUCACACUGGAACUGAGACACGGUCCAGACUCCUACGGGAGGCAGCAGUGGGGAAUAUUGGACAAUGGGCGAAAGCCUGAUCCAGCCAUGCCGCGUGUGUGAAGAAGGUCUUCGGAUUGUAAAGCACUUUAAGUUGGGAGGAAGGGCCAUUACCUAAUACGUGAUGGUUUUGACGUUACCGACAGAAUAAGCACCGGCUAACUCUGUGCCAGCAGCCGCGGUA
rnacentral:rRNA from 1 species